GCGAGGAACCGCAAGGACCGAAGCCGCCGAAGGCAAGCGGCAGUGACUGGGGCG
rnacentral:rRNA from 1 species